ensembl:lncRNA
CAUGAAGCUGUUUUUUCGCAUUACAGAGAUUUAUAUGUUUGCGUUUACAUAUUGCAGGUGUUUCCAUAAAAGCUCGGGGUAGACACAUUCAGGAUGGCCUGAAAGAAAAUGGAGAAGUGCUUAAAAUGUUACUGAGCACACUUACAAAUAUCAUCCUGGAGCAGAAGAGUGAAGUCACUGCAGAAACGAGGGAGCACAGGCAGAUCCCUUCAUGCCUUUGGAAGCUCUGGCUAUCACUGCACCAGGUGGAAAAAGACUGUGGACAGGAAUUAUCUAAGGACCACAAUUCAGGCACUGAAGGAGCAAAACUGCAACCCACCCAAUAUAAUUCCUGUAAACUCAAUGUGCCAAGGUUUCCAACAAGCACCAUCUCUGGUAACCACAGUCAUUCCCAUGCCAGGCCUUACAGAAACUGGUCAGAAUGGUUUUGGAGAUCUGGACAGCCCCUGAUCUUUCUGAGGAAGGAAAAAGCAGCUCAGCUGAGGUUCAUGAAGACUCACCUGGGUUGGAGCAUGAAACAGCAGCUGCACCUGCAUGAAAACCUUCUGGGACGUGGCAUUAAGACAGACAUCGGGGUGGUCACUGCUGUUCAAGAGCUUGCCUGAGGUGAAAAUGGCCUCACUUCCUUGGGUCUGACUUAAAGAGGAGAGGAACAGCAAAAUAUUCCUUGCUGGAAAUCAGGAUGGUUCCUUGGACUUCACUGGAGCCUGUUUGUUGAUGUGACCUGAGCACACGGCUUCCUGGGUGGGUGGGAGUCUCACACCUCCAACGUGAUGGAUGGAACAACAGUGGUGGAUGAGCUGUUACUUGCCUGAAAAAAAGUGUUUUGGGGAAAAAUUUUCUUCAGUCAUUCUCAUUUUGCAUGUUAUUUUUCCUACAUAUGUUUCUAAUCAUUAAGAAAUUCUGUAGCUUAAAUAAUGCUCUGAAAGUACGGUAACUGUUGGACUACAUUCUGUUGUAACCUUAUUGAAUUUCACUUCUCUGGAAAAAAUAAUGGGAUACUAUAUCUUGAAAAAC